rnacentral:rRNA from 1 species
CCUACGGGCGGCAGCAGUGAGGAAUAUUGGUCAAUGGGCGCGAGCCUGAACCAGCCACGUAGCGUGAAGGAUGACUGCCCUACGGGUUGUAAACUUCUUUUAUAAAGGAAUAAAGUGAGGCACGUGUGCCUUUUUGUAUGUACUUUAUGAUUAAGGAUCGGCUAACUCCGGGCCAGCAGCCGCGGUAAUACGGAGGAUCCGAGCGUUAUCCGGAUUUAUUGGGUUUAACGGGAGCGUAGAUGGGUUGUUAAGUCAGUUGUGAAAGUUUGCGGCUCAACCGUAAGAUUGCAAUUGAUACUGGCAGCCUUGAGUACAGUUGAGGUAGGCGGAAUUCGUGGUGUAGCGGUGAAAUGCUUAGAUAUCACGAAGAACACCGAUUGCGAAGGCAGCUUACUAAGCUGCCACUGACAUUGAUGCUCGAAAGUGUGGGUAUCAAACAGGAUUAGAUACCCUAGUAGUC